AGAAAGUUCAGCACCUUUUGGUUUUGCCCUGCCAAGGAGCCCCUCUGAUGAUACCCAUGCAUCACUCCAUGGAAGGACUUCUCACUGCAAACACAUUGUUCAGAACUGACUGUCACUCUUGUGCAAAGAGCAAGAGCAUCGAUCUC
rnacentral:lncRNA from 1 species